rnacentral:rRNA from 1 species
GACGGGGACCCGCACAAGCAGUGGAGCAUGUGGUUUAAUUCGAAGCAACGCGAAGAACCUUACCAGGUCUUGACAUGGAGAUGACCGGCUGGUAACGCAGCCUUUCCUUCGGGACAUCUCACACAGGUGGUGCAUGGUUGUCGUCAGCUCGUGUCGUGAGAUGUUGGGUUAAGUCCCGCAACGAGCGCAACCCUUAUUGCCAGUAGCCAGCAGGUAAAGCUGGGCACUCUGGCGAGACUGCCCGGGAUAACCGGGAGGAAGGUGGGGAUGACGUCAAAUCAUCAUGCCCCUUAUGGUCUGGGCAACACACGUGCUACAAUGGCGUAAACAGAGAGAAGCGAACCUGCGAGGGGGAGCAAAUCUUCAAAUAACGUCUCAGUUCGGACUGUAGUCUGCAACCCGACUACACGAAGCUGGAAUUGCUAGUAAUCGCGAAUCAGCAUGUCGCGGUGAAUACGUUCCCGGGUCUUGUACACACCGCCCGUCACACCAUGGGAGUCAGCAACGCCCGAAGUCAGUGACCCAACCUUUCAGGAGGGAGCUGCCGAAGGCGGGGCGGAUNACUGGGGUGAAGUCGUAACAAGGAGGCCGUUCGAAA